GAUGAACGCUGGCGGCGUGCCUAAUACAUGCAAGUCGAGCGAACAGACGAGGAGCUUGCUCCUCUGACGUUAGCGGCGGACGGGUGAGUAACACGUGGAUAACCUACCUAUAAGACUGGGAUAACUUCGGGAAACCGGAGCUAAUACCGGAUAAUAUAUUGAACCGCAUGGUUCAAUAGUGAAAGACGGUUUUGCUGUCACUUAUAGAUGGAUCCGCGCUGCAUUAGCUAGUUGGUAAGGUAACGGCUUACCAAGGCAACGAUGCGUAGCCGACCUGAGAGGGGGAUCGGCCACCUGGGAAGUGAGACACGGUCCAGACGACUACGGGAGGCAGCAGUAGGGAAUCGUCCGCAAUGGGCGAAAGCAUGACGGAGCAACGCCGCGUGAGUGAUGAAGGUCUUCGGAUCGUAAUACUCUGUUAUUAGGGAAGAACAAAUGUGUAAGUAACUGUGCACGUCUUGACGGUACCUAAUAAGAAAGCCACGGCUAACUACGUG
rnacentral:rRNA from 1 species